rnacentral:misc_RNA from 1 species
UAUCAGUUUGUCUUCACAUUAAAUUGAUGAUUCAGAAUUUUGAGUCAAUCACUUCAAUUUUGGUCUCUGCUCAUUAUGAGGUGUUACAAUCUUUUGCAAAAGGAAUAAAUUGUAGAAGCNGAAAUUUUAGAUCAGAUGACAAGGUCGUCUUUAAAUGCCUGAAGUGUUGAUUGUUGAAGGGAUACAUGUUUAUACAGUACAAUGUAAAAUUAGAUACAAGUAGGAGG